AGAGUUUGAUCCUGGCUCAGGAUGAACGCUAAUAGUAUGCUUUACACAUGCGAGUCUUACUAAAAUAAAUUUUUAGUGGCGGACGGGUGAGUAACCGCGUAUAACGCUACCUUUUAGUCUAAGAUAAAACAAAUUGAUCGUUUUUGAAAAUUAGGAUCAACAAAUUGUUAAUAUUAUUUAAUCAAAAGGGUAAUUAAAAGUAACCCGCUAAAAGAUGCGUAUGCGCAAGAUUAGGUAGUUGGGGUCGGUAACAGCGAACCCAAGCCUACGAUCUUUAGUUGGUCUGAGAGGACGAUCAACCACACUGGAACUGAGACAAGGUCCAGGCUAAUAUUUAGCCAGCAGUGAGGAAUAUUGGACAAUGAACGAAAGUUUGAUCCAGCAAUACUAUGUGAAUGAUGACGGCUAUUUGGUUGUAAAAUUCUUUCGGUAAAAAAUGAUAAUGACAUUAUUUACAGAAGUUUUAGUCCCGGCUAAUCUCGUGCCAGCAGCCGCGGUAAUACGGGAGGGGCAAGCGUUAUCCGAAAUAACUGGGCGUAAAGGGUCCGUAGAUUGUAUUGUAAGUUAUUUGUUAAAUUCUAAAGCUCAACUUUAGAAAAUUCAUUUAAUACUACUAUACUUGAGUUUAAAUCAGAAGAAUAGAAUUUCAUGUUGAGAAGUAAACUAUCGUAGACACAUGAAGGAACACCGUCGGUGAAGUCGAUUCUUUAGUAAAAACUGACGUUGAGGGACGAAAGUGUAGGUAUCAAACAGGAUUAGAUACCCUGGUAGUCUACACUGUA
rnacentral:rRNA from 1 species